rnacentral:rRNA from 1 species
GUCGAGAAUUUUUCACAAUGGGGGAAACCCUGAUGGAGCGACGCCGCGUGGAGGAUGAAGGCCCUCGGGUUGUAAACUCCUGUCAUGCGGGAACAAGAAAGUGAUAGUACCGCAAGAGGAAGAGACGGCUAACUCUGUGCCAGCAGCCGCGGUAAUACAGAGGUCUCAAGCGUUGUUCGGAUUCAUUGGGCGUAACGGGUGCGUAGGUGGCGAUGCAAGUCUGGUGUGAAAUCUCGGAGCUCAACUCGAAAAUUGCACCGGAUACUGCGGUGCUAGAGGAUUGUAGAGGAGAGUGGAAUUCACGGUGUAGCAGUGAAAUGCGUAGAUAUCGUGAGGAAGACCAGUUGCGAAGGCGACUCUCUGGGCAAUUCCUGACACUGAGGCACGAAGGCCAGGGGAGCAAACGGGAUUAGAUACCCGAGUAGUCC